AAGAAGGUGAAGGAGAGGGGCAUAUGGGGUGGGUAGCGGUGGUGAAGGAGGCAGAGUGAGGGAAGGCAACAUAGUAAAGUUUGAAGCGGAGGAGGUGGCUGUGGGCCUCCAAGACAUGACAGAGGCAGGCGAUGGCAUUGAGGAUGGCAACAAAGGGGGAAUUGAGAGCAGGGUAAUGGAGGAGCCGAGGAGAUGGGAAGGGGAGGAGGAGAGGCCUGCUGCAUUGAAGUUCAAGGCGGCCAUGGGCAUCCUGUAGGUGGUGGAGGCCAACAACAGCAUUGAGGUUGGCAACAAGGAAGGACUAGAGAGCAACGCCAGGAAGAAGAGAGAAGGAAGAGAAAGGGCCUACUACGAUGAAGUCCGAGGCAGAGGGGCCAUGGGCAUCUAGGAGGUGACGAGGGCCAAUGGUGGCAUCUAGGGCGAUAGCAAGGGACUAAAAAAUGAGGCAUGGGAAGAGAGGGAAGGGAAGGAGGAGGAUUUGAAUUUACUUUAACGAAGAUCCUACUUGAGCUGCGGCAACUUUCCUGUGGCCAUUUCAACCACAAGUCAACCUACUGCAAAAUAGCCCUGAGUUGCAGCACAACAAGCAACUCAAC
rnacentral:lncRNA from 1 species